rnacentral:rRNA from 1 species
UACGUAGGGGGCAAGCGUUGUCCGGAAUUAUUGGGCGUAAAGAGCGUGUAGGCGGUCCGGUAAGUCAGCUGUGAAAGUCAAGGGCUCAACCCUUGAAUGCCGGUUGAUACUGUCGGGCUAGAGUCCGGAAGAGGCGAGUGGAAUUCCCGGUGUAGCGGUGAAAUGCGCAGAUAUCGGGAGGAACACCAAUGGCGAAGGCAGCUCGCUGGGACGGUACUGACGCUGAGAAGCGAAAGCAUGGGGAGCGAACAGG